ACCGCGGGACAGUGCCACUAACACCGGGGGACAGUGCCACUAACACCAGGGACAGUACCACCAACCCUGGGGGACACCGCCGGCAGCGCCGCACCCGCCAGGGGAACGGGGAACGCGGCACCGGGGCACAGUGCCGCUAACACCGGGGGACAGGGAUACCGGCACCGGGGGACGGCGCCACUAACCCCGGGGACACUGCGGGGACACCGCCAGUGCCACCAGCCCCGCGGCACCCGCGCUGUGUCCCCACGGUGCUGCUGGGGAGCCACGGGAGCGGCCCCUCCGCUCGGGUGUCACCCAGUGCAGCUCCAUUGCAGAGGGAAGGUCACCGGGGGCAGGUGGCACGGGAGGGCGUGCAGCUGGUUUGGGGUGUCCCCAAGCCCUGGGCAGCGCUGUCACCCUCCAUGGGGAGAGGUUCUGGCUCGCGUUGGGGUGGAACUUGUUUUAUUUUUUCCUUUAUGGCCUCGUCCUGUCACAAUGAACAGAGCCUGGCCCCAUCCCCUGACCCCCUGGAGAAGUUUGUGUGCCUCGGUGACAUCCUCUCAGCCUUCUCUAAGCUAAACACGCCCAGCUCAUUUUUGGAUGAAGAGGAACGAGGCAGCCCCAGGCUGGAGGACUGGUACCUUCCUGACAUUUGGGAGCCAGGAAUCACCCCUGGAAUCUUUGCUGAGUUCCCCUGAUUAACCAAGGCUCGUCCCAAAGCUGAUGGCACAACACGUGCCUGUGGAAUCAGCAACAGCCACAGAGCUUUAUGGAUGCACAGUGAGGACACAAACAGCUCAAAACAGAGCCUGGACACCAAAAACAAAGGAGAAAGAAAAAGAGUGGAAGGAUGCAAGGAACAAAGUUGUGUCGUUCUUUCCCUUUUUAGGCAGGUUUUACACGUAAAGCUGCCUCAUCCUGGUGAAAAGUUACUUUUGUUCCGUGUCAAACAGCGAUGACUGUUCCGCAGAGCGAACUGACGAUCUCUGUGCAGAAAUGAAUGCUUGUCCUUCACUGCUGAUGAGAUUCCUCCAAGGAGUGACAUUUUGGGAUGACGCUGCUGGCUCGGGCUGCCAUGGAGAAGAAGGGAGCUGUUGCUGCUCUAUUUAUCCCCUGCAGAAGUUCUGGCAGUGAGUAACUGAUGGCUCGGGUUAGUCAGACAUCCACCCUUUCAGUGAUUGAUGGGUACGUGAGAGAGCCUUCCAGAAUCCUCUUUGAAUAGCAAGUGGUGUCAUCCCGAGCUGCCACUUGCCAAAUUUCACUCCUCUUUCACCUUUUCUUCGCAUCCAAACUCGGCGUGUGGAAAGUGACUUUUUUUUUCCCCUACAGAAUGUUACCUAAUACUCCUUCUCAGCCGCGUCAUUCUAGAUGAAGUUUUUUAGCCUUGAAACAUUUGCUUCCUGCCCACUUUCAAGCCUCAGCCCGGUGCAAAAUGAAUUAUCAAAUCAGAUUUUGGUGCUCGGAAGAGAAAAACCCCUGCAGAAACCCCACGGCAAAGCCGGAAAGUUCAGGUCACAAAAGAAAAAAAAUAAACCAAAGAAACAAAACAACCCAACCAAAAAACACGGCUUAAAAACGCUGCGAGAGGAACUGCACCCACUAAAAAGCCAUCGUUUGCAGGGCAGCCUUUGAUGGGUUUUGCUCCGCUCCGAGGAAAGGGAUCCGAGCUCCUCCCAAAGCCCGGGGCUGAGCGGCUUUUUCCAGGACGUGGAGCGCACAUGCCCUCGUGUGGUCACUGCUCCCGCACAUCCUCCCGCCGAUGGGAUGCCCCAAAGGAGGCGUCGAACAGCGGGAUUUAUAAAAUUCCCUCUCCUUUAAUAACUCCCAGAGCUCUCAGGUGGCUGCCCCAAGUCCAACGGGCAGCUCAGGAGGUCGGGCCACACACUUUCGGCUUUUACACACCUGAACUCCAGCAUCUGACAAGUUCUCCCCCUCGUUUUCCUGUUUUUCAGUGCCUAAAAGAUGCUUAAUAGCUGCCAAAAAAAAACCAAAACCAAAACAACAACAACAAAAAUAGACCAAGAAUACAAGGUUAAAAGUGGACAGACUUCUGUUUGACCUGAGUUAAUUACUGCAUUAGAAACUCCAGAUAUUGUGAGUGCACAGCCCCGACCGCUCUCCCGUAUCAGGAUUUUGCUUUUCAGGAGAAAUUGUUGCCCACUCGGUGCUGUUUUCAAAACAAUUGGAAGAUUAUUUCUAUUUUAAAGGGGUUUCUCCUUUCAGGGCUUUAUUUGCACCACGUCCUGGUGGAGGAAGAACAGCCGCUGUGACACUGCCGAGCCAGAGCCACAGCACUUGGGACAUUUUGGAAGUGAGAAGCAGCUGUGACAACUGCAAUAUUUCAGUGUUUGCAGCAGUCAGCAACAGCUCAGGGACCUGAAAACUUUUUCCUGCCUAUUUUGGCGGAGGAGAUUCAUGGCUAUGCCUGCACUCAGGUCUGUUGUUGUUCCAGCCACAUUUAAAACACCUUUUUGCCAAACCCUUUGUUUCCUCCCAGCUUAUGAAUUGAUUUUUUUUUUUUUCAUUUUCCCAUUUAUUUAUUUACGUGCAGUGGAGAACAGCAAACAUUUAGGCACCUAAAACACAUUUUAGGAGCUUCAUAGCCUCGUUCUGCUCUCCUGGAGCCAGAAAAUCACCUGCAGAACAAAAGGUGUCAAAUAUUUGCACUCCUCCCUGGCACUUUUUGGUUGCUUGGUCAUUCCCCCUCCACUUCUUGGUCUCUGUUCCUCCCAGCAGAACGAGGGAGAGAAUUGGAGGAGUAAAAAUGAGAAAACUCACGGGUUGAGAUAAAGAGAUUUAAUAGGCACUGUAAAAGAUGCACACACAAGCAAAGCCAGCCAAGGGAUUCAUUCCCCACUUCCCACAGUUCAGCAUCUCCGGGAAAGCAGCGCUCCAUCACGCAUUGCAGGUAACUUUUAGCACCUUUGAGGAGGAAAUAAAUAAGGAUUUUGGAUUGUC